rnacentral:rRNA from 1 species
CCUACGGGCGUCAGCAGUGGGGAAUAUUGGACAAUGGGCGAAAGCCUGAUCCAGCCAUGCCGCGUGUGUGAAGAAGGCCUUCGGGUUGUAAAGCACUUUCAGUGGGGAAGAAAGCCUUGGGGCUAAUACCCUCGAGGAAGGACAUCACCCACAGAAGAAGCACCGGCUAACUCCGUGCCAGCAGCCGCGGUAAUACGGAGGGUGCGAGCGUUAAUCGGAAUUACUGGGCGUAAAGCGCGCGUAGGCGGUCUGAUAAGCCGGUUGUGAAAGCCCCGGGCUCAACCUGGGAACGGCAUCCGGAACUGUCAGGCUAGAGUGCAGGAGAGGAAGGUAGAAUUCCCGGUGUAGCGGUGAAAUGCGUAGAGAUCGGGAGGAAUACCAGUGGCGAAGGCGGCCUUCUGGACUGACACUGACGCUGAGGUGCGAAAGCGUGGGUAGCAAACAGGAUUAGAUACCCCAGUAGUC